rnacentral:rRNA from 1 species
GACGAACGCUGGCGGCGUGCUUAACACAUGCAAGUCGAACGGAAAGGCCCUGCUUUUGUGUGGUGCUCGAGUGGCGAACGGGUGAGUAACACGUGAGUAACCUGCCCUUGACUUUGGGAUAACUUCAGGAAACUGGGGCUAAUACCGGAUAGGAGCUCCUGCUGCAUGGUGGGGGUUGGAAAGUUUCGGCGGUUGGGGAUGGACUCGCGGCUUAUCAGCUUGUUGGUGGGGUAGUGGCUUACCAAGGCUUUGACGGGUAGCCGGCCUGAGAGGGUGAACAGCCACGAUACGACUGAGAAAGGAUCCAAUCGGCAACAGGGGGAAGCGGGGGAAAAUAUGGCGCAUGGGGAGGAAGCCUGAUACUGCAACCACGCGUGAGGGAAGACGGCCUUCGGGUUGUAAACCGCAUUCGCCUGUGACGUAGCGUGUGUGACGGUAAUGGAUAAAGAAGCACCGGCUAACUACGUG